CCCCCCUCAGCACGCCCUUUGGGUGCGCUGGCGUUGGGGCUCCUCCGCCCUCUGUGGCGGCAGGGCCCUCAAAUCCAGUGGCGGGCCCGUCUGGUUGGCUCCGAGCGCAGUACCGAACGCAAGUUCUCUCUCUCGCUCUGCAGCCCCGGCCGGCGCCCAGCCGUCAAGCCGCGCAGGCGACCCUCUCAGGGCCGCCUCGCACUUUUACAAGG
rnacentral:misc_RNA from 1 species